rnacentral:rRNA from 12 species
GUCCCGCAACGAGCGCAACCCUCGUUCUAUGUUGCCAGCGGGUUAUGCCGGGGACUCAUAGGAGACUGCCGGGGUCAACUCGGAGGAAGGUGGGGAUGAGGUCAAGUCAUCAUGCCCCUUAUGUCCAGGGCUUCACGCAUGCUACAAUGGCUGGUACAAUGGGUGGCGAGAUCGUGAGGUUAAGCGAAUCCCAAAAAGCCAGUCUCAGUUCGGAUUGGGGUCUGCAACUCGACCCCAUGAAGUCGGAGUCGCUAGUAAUCGCAGAUCAGCAACGCUGCGGUGAAUACGUUCCCGGGCC